GUUUCGGUGGCUCCGGCCUUGAUCGUGGUUUUUCUGCGGUGGAUAUUCUUGAUGGUCACUUGUCGAAAGACUCAACGUAGUAAUUCUCGCGAGAUUCGUCGUGUUACGUUGGCUUUGUGCCUUCAGAAUUACCGAAGAUCGUUCCACUUCUCCUGAAUCGGAAUUAUGUCGAAUUCGUGGCUGGUCAGAUAUCGGUCGCGGAACCAACCUACAAGAUGUCGGGAUUUUCCAUCCGAUUCGUGAUUACAUGGAUCUUCUACAACCACUAAGAGGUAUAUUAAUAAAGGAUUUGGUGGAUUCGGAGAUUUUUUGUAAAAGAUCCCGUCACUGAGUGCUCUGGCUUAAGGUAUUUUGAUUGGGUUGAUUCUUGAUGGGGCUAAUACCGGAACAGGUUGUAUUGGUAAGAUUGUUUAGGUAUUUUAUGUGGUUAUUGGAUCUGGUUGAUAUAAGUCAUUGUUCUUGUUAAUGGACCUUUGCCAUGUCAGGUGCGCUUGCAUGGCAGGUCCGAAAAGCGUUAAUAAAAUGGUUAUUUUUUUGUUUGGGGGAGGGUAGGAGUCGGGGCUUUUAUUUUAGUUUUUUCCCCGAUUCUUUUCCCUCUCCCCGUGGUGUCGUGUUUUCCCCUUUCCCUUUCUCUUCCUUAGUCUCUCUUCUCUGCCCUCUGAAUUCUUUAUAUAUUCUGGUUCGUUCACUGCGUAUCGGCUCAACAAAACGACAAAACGAUUGGCUACUCGGCAAGGUACAUAGUGCUGAAUGCACACUUUAAUUCAUUUUAAUUUCGUUGUUUAUGAAUUUACUCUUCGAGUUUGCAAUAUAUAAUUAACACUAUUCCAUGCAUCUAAAUCAAUUAAUAGGGCGGUUUUAUUGAAUCUUAAUUAACAUUUAAGUCAUUGCUUCAAUUUAUGCAUACUUUAACUUUUUCUUGACCCUAUGUUUUAUGAUUUCGCAAAUAAGUUUAAGCAUCAAUAGAAUUGAUCUGAAGGGGGUUUCCAAUAAAUUAAUGACUAAGGAAUUUAUAAACUUCAUCGAAGGAGAUUUGAACAAUGUAAAUUGCACCUUUUAGUUGUGGUUUUAUAAACUUUAACUUGAUUGAUUAAAGGUAAUUUAUAAAACUGAGGCACAGUAUGAUUUUUAAUAUUUGUUCCAAAUUUAUAUAUUAUUCAACAAUUGAAUCAAAGUAGCUUUGGAAUUACAAUAAAACAAUGUGCAAAUGUUUCUUUGUUGAGAGCUCAUGCAUAUAUUUACAACUUGUUGAACAAUUGAAUCAAAGUGCCUUUGGAUUCACGAUAUAAUAGUGUGCGAAUGUUUAUAUUUUUUGUUGAGCGCACAUGCACAUCAACUAGUCCAUUUAUAUCAAAUGCAGUACUUCAACUUAAUGUUUCAUUUUUUUGGUUAUAUAUACAUAUAUAUUUGAUAAACCUACAAAUUUUUAUCUAUAAAUACCACUCAAUGUCUCCUCGUAGAAUCCUGCUAUGUAUUGUGAUAAUCUCUGCAAUUGUAUUAUGGAGCUAUUAUGGCAAACAUUUGUACUUUAGUUCUUUUUAGGAUCAUUGGGAUUUUGUUGUAUUUUUUGCUUAAAAUCUGCCGUGGUACACGAGGCAGUGAUCAUAGAUUGCUGUAAACACCUGUGCCUAGUGUAGCUUUAAGGUUCCUUAUGUCUGCAGUAUUCUGCUCUGGAUCAGCAUUGAUAUUGGCCUUUGUCAAGAACCGUGCGACUGGCCUUACAUGUUCCUUUGGAGUCUAGAUAUAGUUUUUGAAAAGGAGUCUGAGAUCAUGCAGAGGAUGAAUGUACGGACCAUUACAUCUUAUGGGUUAGAUAUCAAUCUUCUAUCACUUGAAAAUUUGGAUCCACGUUGAGGCUAUUUAUGUAGAGAUUUGGCUUUGGUGCUUCAUCAAAUCAUACUGGAUCAACGACAAGCCACAGUGCAUUAUAAUCAAACUAUUGUUUUAUGUUCGGUCAUGUAACAUCGACCUUACUGGUCACGUGUUUUAUAUUUGGCGACAUCUUCGGGGAUCUGUAUACUGUUGACGAAAUCCUGAAGUUGGUGGUUGUUCUCAACUUCUCCUAUCCUUGAUCAUUGCUAUUGAAAAUUUUCCUCGUUGUUCUGUAGUCAUGGGAAAAAUAUUUGUAUCUGGUUUGUUCUCUACUUCAUUUUUUUAAUUAUAAACAUGCUGAAACAGUUUUUUCCAGAUAUUUUUGUAAAUGUUUUCAUGUAGAUCUUUUGGUGCAGUUUGGCCCAUUAUCGCGCCACUUAUUGUUAGUUUUGGUUUUUUACUACUCUUGUUUGACAACAUAUUGGUUUAUAAUUGGUUCUCAGAAUUCGGUUUCGUCGUUAUAUCUUGCGAAUCAGAUAUUUUGGGAAGAUAUGAUGGAUUAUCAGUUUGAUCCUCCUGGUUUGUAAGUUAAUUGAUUGAAUAUUGUUUAGAUAAAAUAUUAAUUAAUUCUCAGGGAGGACCAUAUGAUCUGAAAUUGAAUAUUCAUUUAAUAAUUGACUGUUUAAUGUUCCUAGUCUUGUGUGCUCGACAAGUGUAUGAUUCAACUCACUUUUAGAACAUCCGUUUUAUUGAAGAAGUUUGUUAUAUUGAGGAGUUACUACUGUUUUUUCCUUCUCAUUGUGCUCCUUCAUUUUACCUUUAUUAAUUUCGAAAAUCCUUUUUCUUGAUUUGUGGUUUUACAUCUAAAUAAUUUAAUUUCAUGAAGUAUUUUACAAUAUUUUGGCUUGGUAUGCAACCUUCUCAAGGAUACAAUUGAUCCACUAGCUCGAAUCGGAACGAGCGCCCAAUUGCUGUUGCAUAUGGGAAGUUGGUGGUUCGAAUCCACCUGGAUCCGCAAACACAUGUGACAAUAAAAUUUACUCGCCUUUUUUAAGAACAAUAUAAGCUGUGUAUCUUCAUGGGAUAAAGUCCAUAGAAAAAAAAAAAUAGCUUAUACAUUCAAAUGGGUUUCAGUCUCCAAGAAAACUGAUGAAAUCCAUGUAGCUAUUGAGAUAUUGGGAUAUCCAUUUUAAGAACAAUUUGUAUGAUCUGAUUUAUUAUUUUUUUGAUCUGACAGCGUUGUACAUCUUUUUUCCUUUAAAUUUUUGUGAAAUCCAGAGACUUGGCUGAUAGGAUAUGGUUUUUUUUAACAGUUGAAGGGUGUGGCGACUACAGCAUCUGUGGAGAUACACCAGCUGGUCCUCUAGCUUGGAUUUCAGAGCAAUUAUAGUUCUGGAGUUUUGAUUGCCUAUGACAUUGAUAAAUGUUAGGAUCACUCACUUCUUUUUAUGAUUUUGCAGUUUUCUAUAAUGAACUUUUUUAUCCUGCCUGUUAAACGUUGAGAGAUUUAAAACUAAAAUAUCCAAUGUCUAAAAACACCUAAUCUUACUCCUUUCAAGAGUAGUGGGACUUGAAUACAACCACCAAGGAAGCGCAUUUGUUUAGGGAUAUCAGUUUAGCGAUGUCCUGAUGUUUCAUAGUUCUUAGGACAUUUGGGAUUAAAAAACUAAAAUAAUAGGGAAUUUUAUAAUUUCUUUAGUUUUCAAUGUCCUGAUGAUUCCACCUAAUCUACUUUUUUUAAUAUAAUUUAGUUUUUAAUUUGCAACUCAUUUCUAACUUCAAUACAUCUCUGCAGCCAAAUCCCCUUUAGCACCGAUGCAGCAAUAGCACGGCACUGAGCUUCUACGUUUUCUUGUUAUUGUUACAAUUCACUGCAGA